rnacentral:sRNA from 1 species
AGCAGCCGCGGUAAUUCCAGCUCCAAUAGCGUAUAUUAAAGUUGUUGCAGUUAAAAAGCUCGUAGUUGAAUUUCGGGAUCAAUUAAUUGGUCGUGCCUCUGGUACGUACUGAUUUUAUUGGUUUCUCCCUUCUGACGAACCAUGAUGUCAUUAAUUUGGUGUCGUGGAGAAUCAGGACUGUUACUUUGAAAAAAUUUAGAGUGUUUAAAGCAAGCUAACGCUUGAAUACAUUAGCAUGGAAUAAUGAAAUAGGACGUUUGAUCCUAUUUUGUUGGUUUCUAGGAUCGACGUAAUGAUUAAUAGGGAUAGUUGGGGGCAUUAGUAUUCAAUUGUCAGAGGUGAAAUUCUUGGAUUUAUUGAAGACUAACUACUGCGAAAGCAUUUGCCAAGGAUGUUUUCAUUAAUCAAGAACGAAAGUUAGGGGAUCGAAGACGAUCAGAUACCGUCGUAGUCUUAACCAUAAACUAUGCCGACUAGGGAUCGGAUGAUGUUAAUUUUUUAAUGACUCAUUCGGCGCCUU